ACAGUCUAUAGGCUGGAGGCGGGAUGCGGGGAUCUCCGUCUGGUCCCCGCAGCCCGGUCCUGGGUGUGCUCCACGCGGCUGGCCACGCGCCGCUUCCCGCUCCCGCCGGCAGCUCUCCUUGCCGGCAGCUCCUCUGCCUCUCGUCCUCGCUUCCUCCUCCACCUUCGCUCCGUGGCUGCCACCUGGCGCGGUGGAGCGACCCCGUUACGUUAGAGAUGAAAGGCUGGGGUUGGCCGGCCCUGCUUCUGGGGGCCCUGCUGGGAGCCGCCUGGGCUCGGACGGCCCAGGAUCUACACUGUGGAGCUUGCAGGGCUCUGGUGGAUGAACUAGAGUGGGAAAUUGCCCAGGUGGAUCCCAAGAAGACCAUUCAGAUGGGCUCUUUCCGAAUCAAUCCGGAUGGCAGCCAGUCAGUGGUGGAGGUGCCUUAUGCUCGCUCAGAGGCCCACCUCACGGAGCUGCUAGAGGAAGUAUGUGACCGGAUGAAGGAGUACGGGGAACAGAUGGACCCUACCACCCACCGCAACAUUUACAUACGUGUAGUGAACCGGAACGGAGAACCCAAAGACCUGAAUCUAGAGGGCAUCCGAAUUGAUUCAGACAUCCGUGGCACCCUCAAGUUUGCGUGUGAGACCAUUGUGGAGGAAUAUGAGGAUGAACUCAUUGAAUUCUUUUCCCGAGAGGCUGACAAUGUGAAAGACAAACUUUGUAGCAAGCGAACAGACUUAUGUGACCAUGCCCUGCACAUACCGCAUGAUGAGCUGUGAAUCACUGAGCGGGCCCAACUGACAAGCAUGAUGGAUCACCCCCAGGAGGGGAAAAGAUGGAGGGAUCAACAAGAGCAUUCAGGAAGGGGAAAAUGGAUGUGAUCAACUCAGCUGAAAAGUAAGGGCUUUUUCAGAUAGGGAGAAAUUAGGUAAGGAACGUUAUUUAAUGAAAGGCCUUAUUUGAUGGCCUACGUUUUUAGAUUUAGUGCCAAUAGCAACAUGAAAGUAUACCCUUUUCAUCUUCAUCACUAGCUAUUGUCAAUCUAGACUAUAAGUCUGUCCUCACUUUCUGUAUGUAGAGAUUCUGUACUGGGGCAUAGUGAUGAAAACAAAGGAUACCUUCUUUGAGGAGCUUUUUAAAUACCUGAUUUGGGGAUGUGGCUGUCAUAGGUUUGAAAUGGAACAUUUCUGUCUUGGGAAUGCCUCAGAGAGAACCUGAAUAAACAUUUCAAAGACUUCUUAAA